UUGCGCUCGGCGCGAGGGUGUGGGUGUGUGUAGAGAGCGAGAGGGCGCGAGAGAGUGUUCGGUGUCAGCGCCGAGUGAGGGUGAAGGAGGAUGGCUGAUUUAUGCACAGCCGAGGUCCCACAAACAUUGAUGAAGGAGACCACAAAAAAUAUUGGACAAGAAAAGGAAUAUUUGACCCAUCAAGCUUAGUCUCCAAACCAAACUACUGAGAUCUACGCAUCUGCAUGGCUUCCAUUUGUCCGGUUUGUUGCUUUAUUGUUGGAAAAGUUCUGCAUAGAGAAGCUCCCUGAACCCUAAAUAAUAACAGUGUGCAUUUAUAUAGCUUCUUUCACGUGGGGGAGCAUCUCAGAACGCUUAGAAUCAAGAACCGCCACCCCCAAAAACAAUUCAAGUCUCCUCAAUCUACAGUGAUCAAAGCAACCAAAGCUUUUUGAAUAUACAGAUGUACUGUAUCUUGUUUUGUCCUAGUAAUAAAGGAUGGCAGUAAUUAUUUAAUGUAAUUAUAAAAUGUAUGCUUUGGGUUGCUUAAAGCAACAAAACUGUCAUAAGUGCGGGGAGAUGUAUCCCAGGAUGAUAAAUGUAUGUGCCCCUAUGAAUAAAACGAAUCUACUCCAACACAAACGGUACUGUAUAAUCUGGCAAAUGUCUAAUUCAUGUCACAGUUAUAGUCUAAAACUGUUCAGUAUCUGGAAGAGUGGAUAUCACUACUCUCUUUCCUCCCUCCUCUGAUGAAAACAAAUACAUUCAUGAUGUCAAAGAGAUGAAUUAGCUGUAUAAUAUUUAACCGAAGAUAAACAUUUGGAAAUGACCAUUCAAUGGGAUGUAAAGUCUCCAGCUUCUCUGUGACUGUGUUUGUGACUGCUGAAAUUAUGGCCUGUGCUGAGGUGGAGAAACCCACAAUUUUUUUUAUUUUCAUACUCUCUGAGGAUCAAUUCAAUUAAUAAAGUAUCUUGGGUUCAUUUGUUGAUUUAACAACAGAGAGGAUUAAAAAUAACCUUAAAUUGGGAACAUUGAACGUGAAGAUGAUGAUGUGCUGUGUGAUUCCAUUAUACAAUCUUGCAGAGAGGCUUGUUUUCCUGCCUCUUAUGUGCUUGGGGUCUGUUGUGUUUAAUUAAAAAUUAAAUUAAUAAAUAA